ACAUUAAAAAAAAGAAAAAAGCCCACCUAAUGCCGUAACAGGAGUGUGAAAAAUAAAGAUAGCAAUUUGAAUCGGAUAGGACGGACGUCUCCAGCAUGGCCAUCGUGGAAGGAAAAGUGACCCCGUCGUUUCCUGCGCCUGCGACUUGUCACUCUGCCCUCGGUGGCCUCGCGCUCAGGCCACCAGACCGAAGCAAAGGUCCCACCGAAGGAGGCUCGGCCAGCAGUUCUGCCCAGCUCACUCGUGAAAUGCUUCUGGAUCAUCAG